AGCAGCCGCGGUAAUUCCAGCUCCAAUAGCGUAUAUUAAAGUUGUUGCAGUUAAAAAGCUCGUAGUUGAACUUCGGGGUUCACCCAUUGGUCAGGCUUAAUUGUCUGUACUGGUGAGAUGAAUCUCUACCUUCUGAGGAACUUUCAUGCCAUUUAUUUGGUGUGAUGGGAAAUCAGGACUGUUACUUUGAAAAAUUAGAGUGUUUAAAGCAGGCUAACGUCUGAAUACAUUAGCAUGGAAUAAUGAAAUAGGACGGAUUGAUUCUAUUUCGUUGGUUUCUAGGAUCACCGUAAUGAUUAAUAGGGAUAGUUGGGGGCAUUAGUAUUCAAUUGUCAGAGGUGAAAUUCUUGGAUUUAUUGAAGACUAACUACUGCGAAAGCAUUUGCCAAGGAUGUU
rnacentral:misc_RNA from 1 species